AUAAGGCAGGCCUGACAAAACUCGGGGCACAGUUCCCCCCUAGCUUAGAGUGGCAGCCCUAGAAAAUAUUGACAUCCAUUCAGCAGAAGCUACUUGACUUGCAGUUGGUCUGGGACCUCAAGCAAAUCCCAAUCCAGCAGGGGACAUCUACCAUGGCCACAAGGCACACGUGCCCUGAGACGGUCUACUGCCCAAGCAAAGUAGUCUGAGAGAUCAGAGAAGGGGUAGGAGCAGCAUGGAAGGCUCUACCAAAAGGGAGAGUGUUUAAGAGGAAUUCCCAUUGGGUAGUGACACCAGAAGAGGCCUGGCAGGAGGGAGGAACAAUAUACAAAAUGUAUCCCUUUCUCCUCUUUGAUCCCCUUAUUCUCCUCUUCCUCCUGUACACAGAGCUGGAAAUAGAAGUUCAAAAUACAAGAAUGUCUUCACUGCUGUCUCCUGCUUCCCUGGAUAGAUGCAUACUUAUUCUUGCCUUGAGGGAGAACAAAAAGGGAACACACAAUUUAAUAUGUAGAACUUUAUACCAGGCACUGAGUUGAAAGCUUUACAGGCAUAAUCUCUUGUAAUCCUGAUCACAAUCUAAUGAGAUAUAUAGUAUCAUCUGCACUCUACAGAUACAAGUGAGACUCAGAAACAGCUUAAUUUGUCUACAGUCACAUUAAGUUGCAUGCUUUGGACGGAAAGACCGAAGGGCUUGUCUGAUUCUAAAGCCUGUGUUAUUCCCAUUCCACUAGAUUGCUCCCACUGAGCCCCCAUCCACAGGAAGAAUGGUCCUGGCUUUGCUGACAUGCCAUAUGACCUAGGUUUUAAACCAUGUGACCACAAAAGGUACUCCAGGCCCAAACACGUGAUCAUGAUAAUCAUCAUCAAUACCUGUGGAGUACUUACAUCCCAGGAACUGCACUAAGCCUUCUGCCAUGAGAUAGUGAUGAUAUAUGUUGUGACCAUUUCACAUAUGAGGAAACCAAAGCUUGGUGUCUGGUCUCGCUCAAGCCUGGAAAUGGCAGAGGUAGGAUGAAUAUGUGCAAGACCAGAGCUGGUCUCAUAAUCUUGGUCCAGAACAGCUUCAAAAUUGGGCAUGCCCUGUAUCUGCCUGGAGGUCAGUUUCUUCCUCUACCUCCUAACACUGAUCCUUUGAGCAUAAACUCACAGGGCCUAGCUGAAGGCAUACUCUGAAGUCCAAGAGCCAAUCAGCACUUGCUGUGAGCUUUGGGGAUGGCCCCCGCCCCCUUCCUACACCUUAAGAGUUGGCUCCUCACAGUGAUAAUGUGGCAAGAUUAGUCACUGCUUGCUGUUGGUUGAUUAUAGCUAUUCUUUUCUGUAAAUGAAGUUUAAAAGUCAUCAAAGGGUUUGUCAGCUGUGACUUCCGAGCCUCUUUCCCACAGGGAAGUCAGGCAGUGACAAAUGCCCGUCUUGUUUUGCCAUCCAUUACAAGUUGGAAGGCACCAUGUUCCAAUUACUGGAAACCCCGAUGGAGCUCAAGGAAAACCCUGCUCCAGGCUAUGGCCAUUACUCAGGCCUGGCAGGGCUGCCAUAGGCCCAGGCCCAACUGGGUAGGAAUGGAAUAAGAGUGUUCUUCUGAUUUUGUGAGCAGGCCCCUUCUACCCUUUAACUUGCGUUAUCCCUGGUGGUUUAUCCUAGACACAUUUCACAGACAAAAACAUGGGUACCAUGUGGGCUGUCUGAAAGUAUGCAGGAUCAAGACUGCUUACAACAGGCAGACAUAAGGAAAUAAGGUCAUGCUGUCCCUAUGAACUAGGCAGGAAAUAUGAUGUUGAGGAAGGGUGGAGAAGGCAGAGAAUAAAGUAUGUAGGAUGCUCAGAGAAAGUAGAGAGUAAAAGGAGCCUUACAGAUCCUCUAGAGUAACCAAUGGCCUCAGUACUGAAUACUCACUAUAUGUCAGGCCUAUCUAGCUAGAUGCUGUGGAACCAAAGAUGAAUAAAGUCCCUGGUUCCUAGGAUAUGCCACAUGAUCUAGGGAAUAAAAACCUAUGUCAUGUGGCAUAUCCUUGAGGGUAAAUAAGAAAAAUUAAGUCUCAGAGAAAGGGACUUGCCCAAGGUAACAAAGUAAGUUAGGGACAGUGAUAGAAAAAGAAAGCAGAUCUCUACCAUUUGUGAUACAGAGAAAGUACAGUGACAAGUGAGCCCUCAUGUGGAACAGGCUCCUUACACAGAACAUGCCACAUAACUCCCAUUCAAAUCCUACCUACUUGCUUACUUACCACACCUUUGACCUCUGGCAAGUCCUAUAACCUAGUCAAAGUUUCAGAAAACUUACUACAGAAUUGUGGAGAAGAUUAAAUAAUACACAUACAGUGCACAGCAGUAGGCAAAUCUUAAGUACUCAAAAUAUUAUUUACCAUCAAAUAAUCCCCAAAACAGUACUCUGAGGCAGGUAUUAUUAAUCUCAUAAUCAAAAGACUGAGGUUAUUUUUCACACUGUCACACUAACUUAAUAAGUCAGUACUUCUCAAAACUAUUUGUGGUGAAGAACCAGUUUUUUUCUUUUGUUUUGCUUUUUAAACUUCACUUUGAAUAACACAGCUCUAAGCCACUCUUGCCCAACCAUGAACUUCUAUGAAACCAAAGCAAAGAAAACAUGAAGUUUACUUCAUUUCUUUCCAAGUCCUUGAGCCUGAUUGUUUUUAGACAUUGGUGUCAGACUAAUUUACAAAAACUAUCCAAUUUUUUUCCUUUUCUUGUCUCUCUCUUAAGAGAGAAGGGGAUAGGCAGACUAAGGACUUGCCACCAAACACUUCUAGUGGUGAUUUAUCUUGGUCUCUGCUCUAUGUCAUGCUACAUCCUGCAAGAGAAGACAAUCUAGGCUUAAUGGGGGACUGGAACCACUUUCCUGGAGCCUGGGGGUAUAUUCCUGAAGAGUCUGGUAUUCCAGACCCUCUCUCCAUACUUUGACGAACACCAGGAAACCAGCCAGGAAGGUGAAAGGGAGAAGAAAACGUUUUCUCAUUUUCUGUCUUGCAUCAUGGCUGUUUACAAACCAGUCUUCUCUCUCCAUCUAGGGAGUUGAGAGGAAUGGACAACAGAUUCAUUCCUGAAUGCUACUGUACUUACCUAAGACUAUGACUGGGCAAAUUGAGUAGAGCUCUUAACCAGUGUUCAAAGGCACAAUACUGCACCCUCAAUCUUCCAUGUGUGCGGUCAAAUUUUCAUCAGUGUACAAAACUGCUUUUUGCUUUGAGCUUAUGUAGUGUUAUCUUUCAUGCAGAAUCAGUAUUUUCCUCAUUACAACAAUCCUUCU